ensembl:lncRNA
CCAGGAAAGAGCACUCUUCUGUUAAAUGCUGACUGCUUGAAAGGAUUUGGGAUUCAUUCUGCAAUCCUGGGGAUAGAGAUGUGAAGAGUACAUGGUCUGUUUCCUUGAGGACCUCCUGGUUUAGUGGGAAGAUAAGCAUUUAGCCUGAGUGGCCCCUCUCUGGGCCCUGAAGACGCCAUGAGGAGCAUGGCUGAGUCCCUGCCUUUAUGGAGCUUACAGCCUAGGGAAGAAACCACCCAGAUGGCCGGGCGUUUCAGUACAAGGCAGUGGGCCCCAUCAUGGGGGACACACAGAAUUGGACGGGUGCCUGAACUGCCACAAGAGCAUCGGUGGAGACCCCAACCAGACAUUCCCCCUUCCACAUGGAUGUCUGUUUCUCGGGCCAGCUCCAGGUUCUCGGGGCUCCCUCUCCCUCUGGCUGCAUCCAACAUGAAGCAGGGGGAGGGUCAGCAUCCCAGCAGGGCCUGGCCACAUGUGUUGGAGCUGCCCUAGCCAAAUCUGAGGGUGACUGACCUUCCGAGAAAUGAGCACCCGGCCUAUUGUUCCACCAUGGGGUGCAAACUCCAGACAGGCAGAUGGAAGAGAUUCACCUUUCCAGAACUGCAUGCCGAGCCCUCCCAGCAGGCUGCGGCUGAGGCCCUGCCUAUUAAUAGUCAAGCAGCUGUUUGCCUCCCUGAAUGAGACUCUUUAUUGCAAGCUGCGUUGACAAAACAGAUCCCGCUCCUUCCUGCCCAGAAUAUUUGGGGGUGGAGGGGCCGCAGGGAGAUGUUCCUUCCUUCCAGGGAAGUUGAGAAGGUCAGCAGUGGAAAAGACCUUAACGGUGACCCCCCUCUCAGCACUCGGGAGACCAAAACCAAGCUCAUUACCACCACUUCCUUUGCCCUCACCCAUGUUCCUAGCUCCAGCCAGCAGACCACUGUUCCCCCAGGAUUUCCUCAAAUUCUCUCCCCUCCCUUGUCCCAGUCCCAAUCUAGAAGCCUCAGAGUCAAGACCUCAAGUGACUGCCCUCUGCUGACAUCCAGGCUCUCAUCUCCCAGACCCAUGCCCCUUCAGUCCACCGUGUCUUUGAAUCUCCAUGCUCUACCUCAGCUCCUGGUCUUUGCACACACCAUUUCUCCUGCCCUCUUCCCAUGUUUAAUGGUCCCUUAAGUCUUGGUUUAAAAAGAGACCACUUCAGGAAGACUUGUUUCCCCAUACCCAACUCAGCAUGCUUCAUGCUUUGCUUAAUCUUCCUCCUUGUCUGAAGUUCUAAGGGGUAGAGUGGGUGGUUUGUUUUUUGUUUUUUUUUUUCAUUGUAUUUCUCCACCACCCACCAGGACACUAUAUGACACUGAGUUGAAUAAAAAAAAAAGGAGGGGGGCAUGUGAAUUCUUCCUUCCCCUUUCUCCCCCAACAAUGUCACCCAUCACCAUACCCUGUUAAUUCAACCUGAUUGAGAACAAGAGAUCUGGACAUGGGCCACCUGGGUUUGAAUCAUGACUCUGCCGCUUAACAGUUGAGAGAACUUGGGUAAAUCUAACCUUGCCAAGCCUUCGUUUCCUCAUCUGUAAAAUGCAGCCAGCCAUAGGGCCUCAGAGUAAUUGUAAGAGGUCAAUGAGAAAAUGUUUGUAAAGUGCUGAACCCAGUGCCUACUACGUUCACCAAAUGUUGUUAGCUGCAAAAAUAACUGAACUCAAUGCUCCAUUCACCACAGAAUCUUUCCUCCCCUCAUUAACCACAGUCCAUGAUAGUGGGCUACAGCCCAUGGGGUUGCAAAGAGUCAGGCAUUACUGGGCGAGUAAUUGCAUAUGAUGGCUGGUAUUCCAUAGCACACACUUUGAGACAUGCCUGCCUAGGCUGACCCUCCUGCUGUUGAACAGGUGAAGGAUAUGAGGCCAGAAGGAGCACAAGAAAGAGCCAUGACCCUCAGGGUGAGACGCAGGGGUGUGUCUGCGUCUGUGUCUCAGCCUGCUCAGCCAAGUCCGUGGCCACCUGAUGGCCCAGCAGCCGGUUCAGCAACCCUCCCAGGUUAGCACCAGACCCCAGAGGGCCCACAGUUUUCACAUUUGAGCAGCCUGAGUGUCCUGAAUUUUGGAGAGACAAGAUAAGACUGUGGACCAGAUUCAGUAAGGGAUACUCAGUGGGAGAAAUGAGCUGGGAGUCAUCAGGACAUGUUGCUGAGUUGCUGUGUGACUCUGGGUCAUCCAAGGACAGAAGACUCAGUUUCUUCUCCACUGACUUCUAGAAGCCUCCCACAUUUCCGCUUCCAGACACAUGAAGUUAAGAACAGCUGAUUCAGGACUUCCGUGUUGGUCCAGUGGUUAAGAAUCCGCCUGCCAAUGCAGGAGGCAUGAAUUCAGUCCCUGUUUUGGGAAGAUCCCACAUGCCAUGGAGCAACUAAGCCCGUGUGCCAACAGCUACUGAGCCCAUGCUCUAGAUCCCAUAUACCACAACUACUGAAGCCCUAGAGUGCCCUAGAGCCCAUGAUCCGCAAGAAGAGAAGCCAUGGCCACAAUGAGAAGCCCAAGCACUACAACUAAAGAAAGGCUGCGAGUAGCAAUGAUGACCUAGUGCAGAAGACCAAAUAAAUAAAUAAAUGAACAUCCAAAUAAAAAUUUUAAAUAUAUGUUAAAAGAAAAAAAAAGAAUAGCUGAUUCAAAUAUUCCCCAGCCUAACUC